UUCUUUUUUGUUUUUUUCUUCUAGUAUUUUUCUGUUUUGUAUUUAUUGUGUUACGUAAACUGUGAGGACAAAGGCUUUUGCUUCGCAGAGAAAACAAAAAUUAAAAAAAAUCAUUAUUUUCGCGGGUCUCCAUGAUUUUUUGUUUAAUUUUU
rnacentral:ribozyme from 12 species